rnacentral:misc_RNA from 1 species
UUUUUUGUUAUGAUUUUAAAUACAUUCUUUGACUCGUGUUUAUGAAUUGAAAAGGUCAGAGGAAGGUUUUAACGCUUCCAACUGAACCUUUAGAAAAUAGUGCACAGGGUAGAAAGUGGAGGUCAGGCCCCUCUGACGCCAACCCAGUUAAAGGAGUCAGACGCAAAGGGCACCCUAAAAUUCACUAAUGAUCCUUCCGCAGGUUCACCUACGGAAA